rnacentral:rRNA from 1 species
UGGGGAAUAUUGCACAAUGGGCGCAAGCCUGAUGCAGCCAUGCCGCGUGUAUGAAGAAGGCCUUCGGGUUGUAAAGUACUUUCAGCGGGGAGGAAGGUGUUGAGGCUAAUAACCUCAGCAAUUGACGUUACCCGCAGAAGAAGCACCGGCUAACUCCGUGCCAGCAGCCGCGGUAAUACGGAGGGUGCAAGAGUUAAUCGGAAUUACUGGGCGUAAAGCGCACGCAGGCGGUCUGUCAAGUCGGAUGUGAAAUCCCCGGGCUCAACCUGGGAACUGCAUUCGAAACUGGCAGGCUAGAGUCUUGUAGAGGGGGGUAGAAUUCCAGGUGUAGCGGUGAAAUGCGUAGAGAUCUGGAGGAAUACCGGUGGCGAAGGCGGCCCCCUGGACAAAGACUGACGCUCAGGUGCGAAAGCGUGGGGAGCAAACA